UAAAAACCUGUGAGCUUCCACCCCUGGCUCCCCCAGGACUCCAUUGAGAGCCUCUGCAGUGGCAGCCAGAGGUUUCAAAGGUCACCCCAGCUGGGCGGAUUAGAACAACAGAUCUCCCGGACCGGGUGAAGUUGGCUGCUCAGAGGAAGGCAAGUUGCAACAUCUGCGAGCAGAGUCAGAACAAAAGCCCCUUAACUUUUUCGGUCUGGCCCUGGGCUCUGUGGCGCCCGGCACUCCUUCGCUCUCCAUUCUUGGCUGGACCUUGGACAGGAACCUCUGCAGUACGGUGGUGGUGAAGUGUGGCUGCCUCGCAUCCUGACUCAUGUGAGAGCUGCCGGGGAAGAAGCCGCGGUAAGACCAUGGGGGAUGUGAAACUGGUUGCCUCGUCACACAUUUCCAAAACCUCCCUCAGUGUGGAUCCCUCAAGAGUUGACUCCAUGCCCCUGACAGAGGCCCCUGCUUUCAUUUUGCCCCCUCGGAACCUCUGCAUCAAAGAAGGAGCCACCGCCAAGUUCGAAGGGCGGGUCCGGGGUUACCCAGAGCCCCAGGUGACAUGGCACAGAAACGGGCAACCCAUCACCAGCGGGGGCCGCUUCCUGCUGGAUUGUGGCAUCCGGGGGACUUUCAGCCUUGUGAUUCAUGCUGUCCAUGAGGAGGACAGGGGAAAGUAUACCUGUGAAGCCACCAAUGGCAGUGGUGCUCGCCAGGUGACAGUGGAGUUGACAGUAGAAGGAAGUUUUGCGAAGCAGCUUGGUCAACCUGUUGUUUCCAAAACCUUAGGGGAUAGAUUUUCAGCUCCAGCAGUGGAGACUCGUCCUAGCAUCUGGGGGGAGUGCCCACCAAAGUUUGCUACCAAGCUGGGCCGAGUUAUGGUCAAAGAAGGACAGAUGGGACGAUUCUCCUGCAAGAUCACUGGCCGACCCCAACCGCAGGUCACCUGGCUCAAGGGAAAUGUUUCACUGCAGCCGAGUGCCCGUGUGUCUAUGUCUGAGAAGAAUGGGAUGCAGGUUCUGGAAAUCCAUGGAGUCAGCCAAGAUGAUGUGGGAGUGUACACGUGCCUGGUGGUGAACGGGUCGGGGAAGGCCUCAAUGUCAGCUGAACUUUCCAUCCAAGGUAUUGACCAGUGGAGGGCUAGUGCAGAACGAUCCCUGCCUGGUGCCGCACCCUCCUAGAGGAGCUGCUUGUUCACUGCACACCUGUGUGUGUAUACACGUGGCCCACUCACACACCCAGGCACUCCCCAGGGGCAG
rnacentral:sRNA from 1 species